rnacentral:pre_miRNA from 1 species
AAAAAGGGGCAAACCCUGGGUUUUCGUGUCCAACUUUAACGGUCCGUCUUAUAUGAAAUUUUUUUAUAAUUCAUAUUUUCAUUAUUGUUAGAUGAUAAAACAUAAUUAAUAUUUUAUGCGUGACUUGUCUUUUUUAUUUUUUUCAUAAUUUUUUCAAAUAAGAUGGACGGUCAAACGUUGGACACGGAAACCAGGGUUUGUCUUUUU